CAAGGCUUGACAUCUACAGAAUCCAUGAGAGAUCGUGGAGUGCCUCUUUUAGAGGAACUGUAAGACAGGUGGUGCGUGGUUGUCGUCAGCUCGUGUCGUGAGAUGUUGGGUUAAGUCCCGCAACGAGCGCAACCCCUAUAUUCAGUUGCCAGCACCUAGGGUGGGGACUCUGGAUAGACUGCCGGUGACAAACCGGAGGAAGGUGGGGAUGACGUCAAAUCAUCAUGCCCCUUAUGUCUUGGGCUACACACGUGCUACAAUGGGCGGUACAGACGGCAGCGAAGCCGCGAGGUGGAGCAAAUCCGAGAAAGCCGCUCGUAGUUCGGAUUGUAGGCUGCAACUCGCCUACAUGAAGCAGGAAUCGCUAGUAAUCGCAGGUCAGCACACUGCGGUGAAUACGUUCCCGGGCCUUGUACACACCGCCCGUCACACCACGAAAGUUUGCAACACCCGAAGCCGGUGGGGUAACCGAAAGGAGCCAGCCGUCGAAGGUGGGGCAGAUGAUUGGGGUG
rnacentral:rRNA from 1 species